rnacentral:tRNA from 1 species
GGGCGGUUAGCUCAGUUGGUUAGAGCACGUGCUCGACACGCACGGGGUCGGUGGUUCGAAUCCACUAUCGCCCA